ACCAAAAAAUGAAAAAAAA
rnacentral:sRNA from 1 species